ACUUUUAAAGGAUAGAAGCAAUCCGUUAGUCUUAGGAACUAAAAACUUGGUGCAACUCCAAAUAAAAGUA
ensembl:Mt_tRNA